rnacentral:rRNA from 1 species
ACUCCUACGGGAGGCAGCAGUGGGGAAUUUUGGACAAUGGGCGCAAGCCUGAUCCAGCAAUGCCGCGUGAGUGAAGAAGGCCUUCGGGUUGUAAAGCUCUUUCAGCUGAAAAGAAAAAGUCGUGACUAAUAAUCGCGACUCAUGACGGUAUCAACAGAAGAAGCACCGGCUAACUACGUGCCAGCAGCCGCGGUAAACGUAGGGUGCAAGCGUUAAUCGGAAUUACUGGGCGUAAAGGGUGCGCAGGCGGUUCUGUAAGUCAGAUGUGAAAUCCCCGGGCUUAACCUGGAAACUGCGUUUGAAACUGCAGAGCUAGAGUGCGGCAGAGGGAGGUGGAAUUCCAUGUGUAGCAGUGAAAUGCGUAGAGAUAUGGAAGAACAUCGAUGGCGAAGGCAGCCUCCUGGGCUAGCACUGACGCUCAUGCACGAAAGCGUGGGGAGCAAACAGGAUUAGAUACCCUGGUAGUCCACGCCCUAAACUAUGUCAACUAGUUGUCGGGUCUUAAUAGGCUUGGUAACGUAGCUAACGCGUGAAGUUGACCGCCUGGGGAGUACGGUCGCAAGAUUAAAACUCAAAGGAAUUGACGGGGACCCGCACAAGCGGUGGAUUAGGUGGAUUAAUUCGAUGCAACGCGAAAAACCUUACCUACCCUUGACAUGUCAGAAAAUUUUCAGAGAUGAAUUUGUGCCCGAAAGGGAAUCUGAACACAGGUGCUGCAUGGCUGUCGUCAGCUCGUGUCGUGAGAUGUUGGGUUAAGUCCCGCAACGAGCGCAGCCCUUGUCAUUAAUUGCCAUCAUUUGGUUGGGCACUUUAAUGAGACUGCCGGUGAUAAACCGGAGGAAGGUGGGGAUGACGUCAAGUCCUCAUGGCCCUUAUGGGUAGGGCUUCACACGUAAUACAAUGGCG